AGAGUUUGAUCAUGGCUCAGAGCGAACGCUGGCGGCAGGCCUAACACAUGCAAGUCGAACGCCUGUAGCAAUACAGGAGUGGCAGACGGGUGAGUAACGCGUGGGAACGUACCCUUCGGUUCGGAAUAACCCGGAAGGAACUUGGGCUAAUACCGGAUACGUCCGCAAGGAGAAAGAUUUAUUGCCGAAGGAUCGGCCCG
rnacentral:rRNA from 1 species